rnacentral:rRNA from 1 species
CUUGCAUACCUAUAAGAGGUCCAGCCUGCCCAGUGACUCUGUUCAACGGCCGCGGUAUCCUAACCGUGCGAAGGUAGCGUAAUCACUUGUUCUUUAAAUGAGGACUAGUAUGAAUGGCAUCACGAAGGUUAUACUGUCUCCUCUUUCCAAUCAGUGAAACUAAUCUCCCCGUGAAGAAGCGGGGAUAACUUUAUAAGACGAGAAGACCCUAUGGAGCUUUAAACUAAGAAUCAACUGACUUUUCCGCUUUUAAAUUCCAGAAAACUAACUUUUACCAAGACACUCUGAUUUCUAGUUUUAGGUUGGGGUGACCACGGAGUAAAAACUAACCUCCGCAAUGAACAGGGAUCUUCCCUUAACCAAGGACCACAACCCUAAGAAUCAACACAUUGACAUCAAUUGACCCAAAAAAAUUUGAUCAAUGAAC